rnacentral:sRNA from 1 species
AGCCCAGUCCAGCGCUGCCCGUUCAGUCCUCGCCCAAGAUUUAAAGCCCGCAAAUUUUGUUCUUGAGACCAGCGACUUUAGCUCCGAUGCGGGAAGGAAAGCCGACCUCCGAUUUGGACAUUUAAAGAGCUGGGCUUGGACUUCGUGAGUUUCGCUCUAAACUGCCCUUGAAAUGAAGCUGGACUUGGAGGUAAAGUCACUGGGAAGCUGGCCUGGGGCGGGGUUUCCCCCUCUUCUCGUAUUUUAGAAACGGACAGCGGCAGUGCAGCCCUAGUUUGCUGUGGCAUGGAAUGUUCACAUGGGAGAGCCGCAUGAGGCCGCCCACCACGCUUCCUGAAGGAUGCCCGUGUGGAAGAAUUUUGACGUGCCAGUGUCCUCGUUCUACAGGGUGUUCCGUUCUUCCGCAAUCUCAGAAAAAUGGGACUAAAAGAAACUAGUUUGUAAAAUAAGAAGACUUCCAUUUUUAAUGACCAACAUGUAUUAAGAUGGACACCUACUCUACGAAACACGAAGUUCUAUGGUCUGGAAGAAGCCAGUGCCUGUUUAAAACCGAUCCUAACU